rfam:Physcomitrella patens subsp. patens PHYPAscaffold_249 genomic scaffold, whole genome shotgun sequence.
UAAGAGGCUUUUAUAAAAGCCAUAUUUAAGUAUCUUGAAUUAUUAU